AGCCAUGUGGUAAGCACAAAGCGAACUAUUCUUUCGCCUUUUACUAAAGAAUACCGUGUGCUUGCCACUACAAGUGGCAUACGCUUAUUUUUGUGAAGAGUUUUCCUUUUUGGAAAGCUCUACAAUAUUAGUGUAAGUAUUUUUGUAUUUUUUUACUUGUUCCGUAUUAAUAUUGUAGUGUUUUAUAUAUUAAUAAAAUUGCCGGCG